GAUGAAGAACGUAGCGAAAUGCGAUAAGUAAUGUGAAUUGCAGAAUUCAGUGAAUCAUCGAAUCUUUGAACGCACCUUGCACCCUUUGGCAUUCCGAAGGGUAUGCUCGUUUGAGUGUCAUUGUACUCUCACACUCCCAAUUGCUUUGGAUUGGGAGCGGUGGACUUGGGUGUUGCUGCUUGACUGAGGCUCACCUGAAAUAUGUUAGUGCACCUCUUGAUUGGACAUAGUACGGCGUGAUAAGUGUCUUCGCCGGCUCCUCGCAAAGAGGGUGGCCGAUCGGGAGCUCUGUUGCUUCAAACUGUCUUCGGACAAUCUACUGGCGACUUGACCUCAAAUCGAGUAGGACUACCCGCUGAACUUAAGCAUAUCAAUAAGCGGAGGA
rnacentral:misc_RNA from 1 species